rfam:Picea glauca, whole genome shotgun sequence.
CCAAAGGUUGUUCUCACAACCAUUAAAAGCUUACAAAGGAAUUUCCU